UUGACCUCGGAUCAGGUAGGAAUACCCGCUGAACUUAAGCAUAUCAAUAAGCGGAGGAAAAGAAACCAACAGGGAUUGCCCUAGUAACGGCGAGUGAAGCGGCAACAGCUCAAAUUUGAAAUCUGGCUCUCGGGCCCGAGUUGUAAUUUGUAGAGGAUACUUUUGAUGCGGUGCCUUCCGAGUUCCCUGGAACGGGACGCCAUAGAGGGUGAGAGCCCCGUCUGGUUGGAUGCCAAAUCUCUGUAAAGUUCCUUCAACGAGUCGAGUAGUUUGGGAAUGCUGCUCUAAAUGGGAGGUAUAUGUCUUCUAAAGCUAAAUACCGGCCAGAGACCGAUAGCGCACAAGUAGAGUGAUCGAAAGAUGAAAAGCACUUUGAAAAGAGAGUUAAAAAGUACGUGAAAUUGUUGAAAGGGAAGCGUUUAUGACCAGACUUGGGCUUGGUUAAUCAUCUGGGGUUCUCCCCAGUGCACUUUUCCAGUCCAGGCCAGCAUCAGUUUUCCCCGGGGGAUAAAGGCGGCGGGAAUGUGGCUCUCUUCGGGGAGUGUUAUAGCCCACCGUGUAAUACCCUGGGGGGGACUGAGGUUCGCGCAUCUGCA
rnacentral:ncRNA from 2 species